ACUUAGACACUAUUUAUACCUCUUUAUUAUUAUAAUUUUUUACUCAUUAUAUAUUAACAUACACUGCCUUGGGCUUUUUUCUCACUUGUAUAAUAAUGAAGUAAAUAUCUUGUUUGUGUGAAGUUCUUUGUUCUAAGGGUGUACAAACUUUUCUGUAUGAAAAGUGUCGUAUUGUCAAAUAGAAUGUUUUUAUAACUAUUUUUGUCCUUUUGUCUUCCUUUACUACACUAGUGUUUAAAUGAUAAUAUAAGGGAAUUAUUAUUACUGGUGCAGUUUUACUUCUACGUGCAUGUGAUGGUAAUUCCUGGGAAAUACGUCCAGGAACUUGGAGCUUUUCCUGGAAACCUGCAGACACAAUAAUAACGACUUCCUCUCGGCAGUUCAGGAAAAGAUAAUGGAAUAUUCUUUGUUGGGGAAAAAAAAGGACAAAUUCUUCGCUGUUCCUCAAGCGGAGGACACGAUGGGUCCGUGAUGGGUCUGAGUUCUGCGGGUCUGUACUGGAGACGGCGUUAACGAGUAACCGGGGCGAAGCACACAGGAUAACCCUCCCCGUGUUUACUCAGCUUCAGUGCCGAAGUCGAGCUUUUUCUUAUUGAGAACCUUCAUAACGAGGGCAGUGGAGCUGUUAAAGGAGCCGGGAACACUUCUGGACUCGUUAUACUCGCAGCUGGCUGCGUUGGUGUUUGAAGUAGAACCGUGCGAGCUGUUUGGACAGCGGUCGUGUGUGUCAAGGCAGAGCAGAUCAAACGCUUUCAGCGUCCCUCGACUGAAAUUUUAGACUGCGUUUCAGCGCUUAGAGAAACGCAGGGACGGUAUCCAGCUCCAGAGUCUUUACACAUCACACAUCUGCUAUUGAGCUACGAUUUACGUCAGUCCUGGAGACAAAAGAAUCACGCCGUCUUUCAGACCAAACGAUGUACAGUACCGGGUGUCCUAGGAGUCCACAUACUGUAGGGGACUAUGUUUGCCAGGACCACGUCAGUCAUGCGGGUGUUCGUGGACGUCUGGAUGUCUUCUCGCAUCGCGACCUUGCGACAGUGUCCCGAUCCGGCCGUGAGAGCGAUUUCAGUACGUCCGUACUGUCGUCGCCGAAGGAAAAAGAAGACAUCUUGGAAGACAUCUUGCUAAAAAGUGUCCCCCUGUGUAUGGAGACUUCUGGGGCGGCGUGUCCAUCUUGUUACCCAGUGCACGACACGAUAGACCGACGAUAGAGUCGUUCAGUUCACUACUGACACGAUUCGAUUCCGAAACGAAUCAUAACACGUACAUUUCCAGCCUUUUGUUGUCCCCCGUCCCAACUUUUUUGAGAUGUAUUGGGUUGUAAUUAAGACCCGACGAUAUCAUCUCCUGGCCAAUAAGAUUGUCCGACGUUUAACCUUAUCACUAUCGGAAAUGCCCGAUACUGUCUCUUUAAAUAUCUGUCAAACGCUAGUGCUUUUAUAUCCUACUUUCUGAAUUCUGGAUCCUGAUUGGUCGUCACGACUAGCGUCGAUCGGUUUUCUAUAACGGCAGCUCUGACGGUAGUGCAGUGUCCGACUCGCAGCUUUACGUCAGCGCGCUCGUUCUAAUACUCUAUGAUACGUUUCUAUAGUAACGGCUCGUCCGCAGGGACUCGAUACGGUGAAGCGCUCCGUGAAAAAGCGGCGCGAGAGCGGCGUUUGAGACAGUCAGAGGUGAAGCUGGAAACUUUGGUCUCCGUCUUUUCCGCCUUAGUAACUCCUAGAAGGAAAGAAAGACAGGCUUGCGACCGUGUACAGCUGCAAUAGUGUAAGUGAGAACAGGAACGGACCUGUUAUAAGCGGAUAUAGAGUGACGUCCAGCAAGAAAUGAAGAAUUACAGUCGGAGGCAGGUUGCUGUGGUGUAAGAGGAAUAAAAACACCUGCUGAUAUAGAAUAGUAAUAAUAAUAAUAAUAAUAAUAAUAAUAAUAAUAAUAAUAAUAAUAAAAACUUCGAGGUGUUUUCCGCAGUUUAUUAGACCGGAUAUAAACUACGCAUAAACGUAAAACUUCCUGAGUCACUACGGGUUUUGUGGCUCGUACGUAAGUAGUCAUCCGGGUCGGGUUUAGGAAAUCUUUCUCACUCGGGAAAUUGAAUACGCUAACUCUCCUCGGUGUUUUGAAAGAAAGUCGUUUCUUGAGAAAAGCGCAGCAUUUAAUAGCGCGCGAGAGCCGAGAAAACAAUGCCGCGGGCUUCCUGCGGACACAGACGGACCUUUAUUCCUCAGUUAUCGAGUUCCUUGAGCUCUAAUUCUCUCCUUCUCUCCUCUGUCAACACUCCCCACAUCACCACAGCACCAACACCAAGCCUCGCUUCCACUCUACUGCUGCACGGACCAGUGAUUUAAGGGGCCCGAGCAGGGCACGGAGGCCGAGAGACAGAGCGACACGGAGAAGGGUAAUAAGAGCCAGAUGGGGCCAGGGCUACAGCCUUUAAAUGACCAUGGAGAGAAGGAAUGAGAGAAAAAGACAAGGAGGAAAUAUAAUAUGAAGCCAAGGUGUACAGCGUGGGAGGGAGAGCGCACGUGUGUGUGUGUGUGUGAGAGAGAGAGCGAGAGAGAGACAGAGACAGAAGGAAAGCUUGUGUUGUUCACAUACCAAGCCUGAGUUCACACAGUCUGAGCUGAGGGUCGAUUGGCGGAUGCAGUCGCCUCUUCUUUCUCCAACAGCGGGCGGGACUUCCUGUGUGCAUUAUUUCACGCUCGUGCUAUCUGAGGAAACUGCGGACGUCGGAAAGCGGAGAAGACAAAGAGCUCUGUAAGCUCACGUGAAGUAACACGUGACCUGCGUGACUGCAGUCUGACCCCCUUUACAUACUUCUCUUCACUUUAGCAUUUAACUUUAGCUUUUAUUGUUUGUCUUAUUUUUACCGAUGCGUUUACGGGCACAUCGUGAUUAUUUGAAUGAUAUAUUUCAUUUUUAAAAAGUUUGAGUAUUUGUAACAUUAUUUACACAUUUUUUUUAUAUAUAUAUAUAUAUUAUAUAUUUUUUAGAUGCUAUAUAUUUAACUUUUUUAGAUUAUUUUCAUAUCUUCUUUGUGUCAGUGGUAUAAUUUAUUGCAAUUAGCCUAUUUUACUAUUUCUUUUUUUUUACUUCACACUCAAAAAACAUAAUAAUAAUAAUAAUAAUAAUAAUAAUAAUAUUAAAAAUUUAAUUAAUAUUUAUGUACCUUUUAUAUAUUUAAAAUGCCUUUACAAAUAUUUAAAGCAUUGCUCAAAGUGCUUUGCAGUGUGAAAAUAAACAACAACAAAAAAAAAACAUAAAUAAAGCAAAAAAUAUAGUCCAUAAUAAGAUAAAAAAAAUAAUAAUAUAAAGGCGAUAAGAAAAAAAUACAGAAAGAAGACAAUAAGUGUAGAAAGUGUAAAAAAAAAAAAAAAAAAAAAGUACAACAGUACAGUAAUUAAAAUGACGUAAUUAAAAAUAACGUAAGUACUAACGUCAAAAACAUUUUUAGCUAUUAUUAUUAUUAUUAUUAUUAUUAUUAUUAUUAUUUUGAGAUUAUUCUAAUAGCAGUUAAUUUUGCUAUUAAAAUGAUUUCUUCUUCUUCUUAAUGUGUAGAAUGUGAAAGCUUUGUAUAAACUCCAGACGAAUACAGAGAUUAAACAGGAAGCUACGUGCCCUAAAGAUCUGCAGCAAUCUGUGAUAUUUCACAGAGCAGGAGAGAGUCAGGGUUUUAUUUACGGCAACAGAAACCAGAAAACUUCUGCACGACAGAAAAUGUUCAGAGCCUGCCGUCCCAGUCCGACCCCAGCCCGGAGCUCAGCUGUGUGCCGUUUUUCAGCCUUUCAUAUUCAAAUCGCUCUCAUGCUUGCGUUUACAGAGUCCCUGAAUAAUCACUAGCAUCAGGGAGGUGCCUCAAAGCAUUGUUGUUCUUUUGGCGCUCCAUAUGCGUGGCGUAAUGCUGAGUUUAAAUCGUACGCUGACUGGAAUAUCAUUAUGAGCCGAUGAAUAAAAGAGCGUCUUGAUUAAAAACCUCUGAGGAACCCGAGGGACGAGGAGCUCUCAAGCAAGCAGAAGCUCUUCUCCGGUCUUCAAAGCCGUGUAUACGUUAUUCGGUUCAAAAUCGGACACAAACCGGCGAAAAAUUACUGGCAAAAGAAACUCCCGAAGGCUUCACACUAUGACCGUGCUCAUCGGUUAUCGACUAUAACAUGAGCCACUGUAUAAGAUUCGCUUCGUAGCCAGAUGUUCUCGGCCCGGUGGAAUAGGGAACGUGGAAACAAUAACAGUCAAUGAGACCUUCAUGAGUCAGGCUACGUUGUAGGUUGAGUGUAAGUGGAAAUUGAGGUUAUAUAAGGAAUAACACACUUCAGGUUGUGCUGUUAUAGGAAAAUAAUCCACGCUGGGCUACUAGGAUAGAAUUAGUUACUGAGAUUUAAUGCAGAAUCACCAAGAGAAAAAACAACAACAACAACAACAUUCAGCUAAGUUUCCACAAUUGCCACUACCAUCCAGCAGUUCCUGACUACACAGCUGAUUUUGGAGCAGAUGGGGCUCCGUCUCUUGCGGAGUGACACCUCUCGUAGGCGUUUCCUCAGAACAGAUGGGCCCUGAAGGAUGCUGGGAUGUCGCUAAUCUGCAG